CAGAGACUGCAAGCGUUAUUCGGAUUCACUGGGCGUAAAGGGUGCGCAGGCGGCCAAGUGUGUGAGGCGUGAAAGCCCGGAGCUUAACUUCGGAAUUGCACCUCAAACUACAUGGCUAGAGCAUUGGAGAGGGUAGCGGAAUUCACGGUGUAGCAGUGAAAUGCGUAGAUAUCGUGAGGAACACCAGAGGCGAAGGCGGCUACCUGGACAAUUGCUGACGCUCAGGCACGAAAGCGUGGGGAGCAAAAGGGAUUAGAUACCCCUGUAGUCCACGCCCUAAACGGUGCACACUAGGUCUUGGCGGAUUCGACCCCUCCAGGGCCCAAGCUAACGCGUUAAGUGUGCCGCCUGAGGACUACGGCCGCAAGGCUA
rnacentral:rRNA from 1 species